UACGGAGUGUGCAAGCGUUAUCCGGAUUCACUGGGUUUAAAGGGUGCGUAGGAGGGCAGGUAAGUCAGUGGUGAAAUCUUCGAGCUUAACUCGGAAACUGCCGUUGAUACUAUCUGUCUUGAAUACCGUGGAGGUGAGCGGAAUAUGUCAUGUAGCGGUGAAAUGCUUAGAUAUGACAUAGAACACCGAUUGCGAAGGCAGCUCACUACACGAAUAUUGACUCUGAGGCACGAAAGCGUGGGGAUCAAGCAGG
rnacentral:rRNA from 1 species